UGGGGUGUAGCUUAGUGGUAGAGCAUGUGCCUAACAUGCAUGAAGCCCUGGGCUCCACCCCCGGCACCAAAA
rnacentral:tRNA from 1 species